rnacentral:rRNA from 1 species
AGCGAACGCUGGCGGCAUGCCUAACACAUGCAAGUCGCACGGGGGGGCUUCGGCUUCCCAGUGGCGGACGGUUGCGGAACGCGUAGGGACCUGUCGAGGGGUGGGGUAUAACCGCGGGAAACUGCGGCUAAUCCCGCAUGACGCCGCGGCGUGACAGCCGGGGCCAAAGGCGAGAGCCAGCCGCCGCGGGGCCUUCGUGCGAUUAGCUGGUUGGCGGGGUAGCGGCCCACCAAGGCGUCGAUCGGUAGCUGGGCUGCGAGGGUGAUCCGGCACCCCGGGACUGAGACACGGACCGGAAUCCUACGGGAGGCAGCAGUGGGGAAUAUUGAACAACGGGCGCGAGCCUGAUCCAGCAAUGCCGCGUGGGUGAAGAAGGUCUGCGGAUUGUAAAGCCCUGUCGGCGGGGACGAUGGUGACGGUACCCGAAGAAGAAGCCCCGGCUAACUUCGUG